rnacentral:rRNA from 1 species
UACGUAGGGUGCGAGCGUUGUCCGGAAUUAUUGGGCGUAAAGAGCUCGUAGGCGGUUUGUCGCGUCGACUGUGAAAACCCGAGGCUUAACCUCGGGCCUGCAGUCGAUACGGGCAGACUAGAGUUCGGUAGGGGAGACUGGAAUUCCUGGUGUAGCGGUGAAAUGCGCAGAUAUCAGGAGGAACACCGGUGGCGAAGGCGGGUCUCUGGGCCGAUACUGACGCUGAGGAGCGAAAGCGUGGGGGAGCGAACAGG